rnacentral:rRNA from 1 species
UACGUAGGUGGCAAGCGUUGUCCGGAUUUACUGGGCGUAAAGGGCGCGUAGGCGGCUCGUUAAGUGGCUGGUGAAAUCCCGGGGCUCAACUCCGGAUCUGCGGUGGGUACGGGCAGACUAGAGUGAUGUAGGGGAGACUGGAAUUCCUGGUGUAGCGGUGAAAUGCGCAGAUAUCAGGAGGAACACCGAUGGCGAAGGCAGGUCUCUGGGCAUUAACUGACGCUGAGGAGCGAAAGCAUGGGGAGCGAACAGG